GCGUAUUAGCGACAGCAGUUACAAACGCAGCGGCCAUGGGCUCCUUGCUGUGGCUUCUGGUCGCUAUAUUGCUCGUUUCUCCUUCGGCGUGUGCGCGGACCAACCCACGUUUUACCGUCCUUACAAAAGCAGGGGUCAUCCAUGGGGGACCUGACGGUGUUCAGUUUUUCAACAGCUCAGGAAAAGGGCACGGACGAAUGGACGGACGGACGGACAACGAAAGAGAGCACUGCUACGUACCUUCAACAAGGUGCACGCCUAACUUGACAUACAAGACCCGAUGCAACGAAUGUCGCUGCAACGCCCUCGGGACGAGUGUCGAUUGUAUGCGGAAAAACUGUGAAGACUAGGAAUAGCGAGCAACUUUUAGUCGACUAACGGCACCAGAUAUGCAGCACUCCAGAUAAUUACCGCUCCAUGACACUGGUUUGGAAAGCGGAAAUCGGCUGCCGAUGCCGACGUUUCAU
rnacentral:misc_RNA from 1 species